CCUACGGGAGGCAGCAGUCGGGAAUAUUGCGCAAUGGAGGAAACUCUGACGCAGUGACGCCGCGUGCAGGAAGAAGGUUUUCGGAUUGUAAACUGCUUUCGACAGGGAAGAAACAAGACAGUACCUGUAGAAUAAGCUCCGGCUAACUACGUGCCAGCAGCCGCGGUAAUACGUAGGGAGCCAGCGUUAUCCGGAUUUAUUGGGUGUAAAGGGUGCGUAGACGGGAAGGCAAGUUGGUUGUGAAAGCCCUCGGCUUAACUGAGGAACUGCAACCAAAACUAUCUUGCUUGAGGGCUGGAGAGGAAAGUGGAAUUCCUGGUGUAGCGGUGAAAUGCGUAGAGAUUAGGAGGAACACCAGUGGCGAAGGCGACUUUCUGGACAGUAACUGACGUUGAGGCACGAAAGUGUGGGGAGCAAACAGGAUUAGAUACCCUGGUAGUC
rnacentral:rRNA from 1 species